rnacentral:rRNA from 1 species
GGACCCGCACAAGCGGUGGAGCAUGUGGUUUAAUUCGAUGCAACGCGAAAAACCUUACCUACUCUUGACAUACUUGGAAGCUCUUGUAAUGAGAGUGUGCCUUUUGGAGCCAAGAUACAGGUGCUGCAUGGCUGUCGUCAGCUCGUGUCGUGAGAUGUUCCGUUAAGUCGGAUAACGAGCGCAACCCUUACCCUUAUUUGCCAGCGAUUCGGUCGGGAACUAUAAGGGGACUGCCGGUGAUAAACCGGAGGAAGGUGAGGACGACGUCAAGUCAUCAUGGCCCUUACGAGUAGGGCUACACACGUGCUACAAUGGGGAAUACAGACGGACGCUAAGCCGCGAGGUGGUGCUAAUCCCAGAAACGUCUCGUAGUCCGGAUCGGAGUCUGCAACUCGACUCCGUGAAGUCGGAAUCGCUAGUAAUCG